AUGCAACUUUUCAGGGAAGCUAGAAACCAAUAUACACAGGCAGUUAGAAAAUCCAAGGCUAGCUUUUUCAAGCAGAAAUUUGCUUCCUGCAACACAAACUCAAAAAAGUUCUGGGACACUGUUAAGUCCAUGGAGAAUAAGAACACCUCCUCCCAGCUGCCCACUGCACUGAAGAUAGGAAACACUGUCACCACCGAUAAAUCCACUAUAAUUGAGAAUUUAAAUAAGCAUUUUUCUACGGCUGGCCAUGCUUUCCACCUGGCUACCCCUACCCCGGUCAACAGGACUGCACCCCCCACAGCAACUCGCCCAAGACUUCCACAUUUCUCCUUCUCCCAAAUCCAGUUAGCUGUUGUUCUGAAAGAGCUGCAAAAUCUGGACCCCUACAAAUCAGCCGGGCUAGACCAUCUGGACCCUUCCUUUCUAAAAUUAUCUGCCGAAAUUGUUGCCACCCCUAUUACUAGCCUGUUCAAACUCUCUUUCGUGUCGUCUGAGAUUCCCAAAGAUUGGAAAGCAGCUGCGGUCAUCCCCCUCUUCAAACGGGGGGACACUCUUGACUCAAACUUCUACAGGCCUAUAUCUAUCCUACCCUGCCUUGCUAAGGUCUUCGAAAGCCAAGUCAACAAACAGAUUACCAACCAUUUCGAAUCCCACCAUACCUUCUCCGCUAUGCAAUCUGGUUUCAGAGCUGGUCAUGGGUGCACCUCAGCCACGCUCAAGGUCCUAAACUAUAUCUUAACCACCAUCGAUAAGAAACAAUACUGUGCAACCGUAUUCAUUGACCUGGCUAAGGCUUUUGACUCUGUCAAUCUCCACAUACUCAUCGGCAGACUCGACAGCCUUGGUUUCUCAAAUGAUUGCCUCGCCUGGUUCACCAACUACUUCUCUGAUAGAGUUCAGUGUGUCAAAUCGGAGGGAAUGUUGUCCGGGCCUCUGGCAGUCUCUAUGGGGGUGCCACAGGGUUCAAUUCUUGGACUGACUCUCUUCUCUGUAUACAUCAAUGAUGUCGCUUGCUGCUGGUGA
rnacentral:lncRNA from 13 species